GUCAGGAUGGCCGAGCGGUCUAAGGCGCUGCGUUCAAGUCGCAGUCUCGCAUGGAGGCGUGGGUUCGAAUCCCACUUCUGACACCA
rnacentral:tRNA from 1 species